GAUGAACGCUGACAGAAUGCUUAACACAUCAGCGAUUGACUGUUGCCGGACGGGUACGUAACGCGUAAAGAACUUGCCCCACAGGUAGGGACAACAUUAGGAAUCGAAUGCUAAUACCUUAUACUGUGAGAGAGCUUUGCGUACCAUUAGCACUUUGGAGAGGUAACGGCUCACCAAGGCGCGGAUGGGUAGCCGGCCUGGGAGGGUGAUCGGGCACAGAGGGACUGAGGCACGGCCCGUACGGCUACGUGCGGCAUCAGUGGGGAAUUGUGGACAAUGGACCAAAGUCUGAACCAGGAAUUCUGGGUGCAAGAUGAAGCUGUCGGAAUGAAAAGUGCUUUCAGUUGGGAAGCGGUACCAGCAGAAGAAGUGACGGCUAAAUACGUGCCAGCAGCCGCGGUAAUUC
rnacentral:rRNA from 1 species